UACGUAGGUGGCAAGCGUUGUCCGGAUUUACUGGGCGUAAAGAGCGCGCAGGCGGUCGUUCAAGUCGCGUGUGAAAGCCCCCGGCUCAACUGGGGAGGGUCACGCGAUACUGAUCGACUCGAAGGCAGGAGAGGGAAGUGGAAUUCCCGGUGUAGUGGUGAAAUGCGUAGAUAUCGGGAGGAACACCAGUGGCGAAGGCGACUUCCUGGCCUGUUCUUGACGCUGAGGCGCGAAAGCUAGGGGAGCAAACGGGG
rnacentral:rRNA from 1 species